rnacentral:rRNA from 1 species
GACCAGACUCCUACGGGAGGCAGCAGUGGGGAAUAUUGCACAAUGGGGGAAACCCUGAUGCAGCGACGCCGCGUGAGUGAAGAAGUAUUUCGGUAUGUAAAGCUCUAUCAGCAGGGAAGAAAAUGACGGUACCUGACUAAGAAGCCCCGGCUAACUACGUGCCAGCAGCCGCGGUAAUACGUAGGGGGCAAGCGUUAUCCGGAUUUACUGGGUGUAAAGGGAGCGUAGACGGCAUGGCAAGUCAGAUGUGAAAGCCCGGGGCUCAACCCCGGGACUGCAUUUGAAACUGUCAGGCUGGAGUGCAGGAGAGGUAAGUGGAAUUCCUAGUGUAGCGGUGAAAUGCGUAGAUAUUAGGAGGAACACCAGUGGCGAAGGCGGCUUACUGGACUGUAACUGACGUUGAGGCUCGAAAGCGUGGGGAGCAAACAGGAUUAGAUACCCCAGUAA